AACACAUGCAAGUCGAACGAUGAAGCCCAGCUUGCUGGGUGGAUUAGUGGCGAACGGGUGAGUAACACGUGAGCAACCUGCCCCCCUCUUCGGGAUAAGCCUUGGAAACGAGGUCUAAUACCGGAUAUGAGUCAUCGAGGCAUCUCGGUGGUUGGAAAGAUUUUUUGGUGGGGGAUGGGCUCGCGGCCUAUCAGCUUGUUGGUGGGGUGAUGGCCUACCAAGGCGUCGACGGGUAGCCGGCCUGAGAGGGCGACCGGCCACACUGGGACUGAGACACGGCCCAGACUCCUACGGGAGGCAGCAGUGGGGAAUAUUGCACAAUGGGCGAAAGCCUGAUGCAGCGACGCCGCGUGAGGGAUGACGGCCUUCGGGUUGUAAACCUCUUUCGACAAGGAAGAAGCUUUCGGGUGACGGUACUUGUAGAAGAAGCGCCGGCUAACUACGUGCCAGCAGCCGCGGUAAUACGUAGGGCGCAAGCGUUGUCCGGAAUUAUUGGGCGUAAAGAGCUCGUAGGCGGUCUGUCGCGUCUGGUGUGAAAACCCGAGGCUCAACCUCGGGCUGGCAUCGGGUACGGGCAGGCUGGAGUGCGGUAGGGGAGACUGGAAUUCCUGGUGUAGCGGUGGAAUGCGCAGAUAUCAGGAGGAACACCGAUGGCGAAGGCAGGUCUCUGGGCCGUUACUGACGCUGAGGAGCGAAAGCAUGGGGAGCGAACAGGAUUAGAUACCCUGGUAGUCCAUGCCGUAAACGUUGGGCACUAGGUGUGGGGCAGGUUCCACCUGUUCUGUGCCGUAGCUAACGCAUUAAGUGCCCCGCCUGGGGAGUACGGCCGCAAGGCUAAAACUCAAAGGAAUUGACGGGGGCCCGCACAAGCGGCGGAGCAUGCGGAUUAAUUCGAUGCAACGCGAAGAACCUUACCAAGGCUUGACAUACACCGGAAAAGUGCAGAGAUGUGCUCCCCGCAAGGUCGGUGUACAGGUGGUGCAUGGUUGUCGUCAGC
rnacentral:rRNA from 1 species